AACGAACGCUGGCGGCAUGCCUAACACAUGCAAGUCGAACGAGACCUUCGGGUCUAGUGGCGCACGGGUGCGUAACGCGUGGGAACCUGCCCUUAGGUUCGGAAUAACUCCCCGAAAGGGGUGCUAAUACCGGAUAAUGUCUUCGGACCAAAGAUUUAUCGCCUUUGGAUGGGCCCGCGUUGGAUUAGCUAGUUGGUAGGGUAAAAGCCUACCAAGGCGACGAUCCAUAGCUGGUCUGAGAGGAUGAUCAGUCACACUGGGACUGAGACACAGCCCAGACUCCUACGGGAGGCAGCAGUGGGGAAUAUUGGACAAUGGGCGAAAGCCUGAUCCAGCAAUGCCGCGUGAGUGAUGAAGGCCUUAGGGUUGUAAAGCUCUUUUACCCGGGAUGAUAAUGACAGUACCGGGAGAAUAAGCUCCGGCUAACUCCGUG
rnacentral:rRNA from 1 species